rnacentral:other from 1 species
UUGUCCCUGCUGUGUGCGUAUAAACCCAUUGUUUUGAUCCAACACUUUCACAUUGGGAGCUCAGACUCUGACCGCUGCGUGAAAGCCCUGCUUGUUUCGGGGACUCAUUAUACGGGAAGGCGCGCACCCACCUGCUUAGGCAGGAUUCAAAACACGGGUCAAACGGCAUGGCGGGGAUUUU